AAGCGGGAAAAGCUCAAAUUUAAAAUCUGGCGGAMAWAGGCCGUCCGAGUUGUAGUCUGGAGAAGCGUCUUCUACGCCGGACCGUGUACAAGUCCCUUGGAACAGGGCGUCAUAGAGGGUGAGAAUCCCGUCCAUGACACGGACCGCCGGCGGUUUGUGAUGCGCUCUCAAAGAGUCGAGUUGUUUGGGAAUGCAGCUCAAAACGGGUGGUAAAUUCCAUCUAAAGCUAAAUACUGGCGAGAGACCGAUAGCGAACAAGUACCGUGAGGGAAAGAUGAAAAGCACUUUGGAAAGAGAGUUAAACAGUACGUGAAAUUGCUGAAAGGGAAACGCUUGAAGUCAGUCGCGUCGGCCGGGGCUCAGCCUUGCAUUCGUUUGCUCGGUUUACUUCCCGGUCGACGGGCCAGCGUCGAUUUCGACCGUCGGAGAASGGUCAGGGGAAAGUGGCACCUUCGGGUGUGUUAUAGCCUUUGGUCRCAUACGACGGUUGGGAUCGAGGGACGCAGCACGCCUUUAUUGGCCGGGGCAUUCGUGCCCACGUAUCGUGCUUAGGAUGCUGGUGUAAUGGCUUUAAACGACCCGUCUUGAAACACGGACCAAGGAGUCUAACGUGCCUGCGAGUGUUUGGGUGGAAAACCC
rnacentral:rRNA from 1 species